UCAGGAAUGUUUAGAUGAUGCAUGCUCUGACACGAAGAAGCAUCCCAAAGAGCAGGUCACCCCAAAGACUGUCUCUCUUCACCAUAACAUCACACCAGGCACUUUGACAGUGAAGGAUCAAAGAACACAACACCAUUGUCCAUAGCUGCGUCCCCCGUUCAGCUCGCACUGGACCCUCAGAAUGCGUUGCCUUUGUGUUGGACCAUAGAUGGACAGAUCUAAUGAGAACUGCCCAUGAUCAUCACUUGGUAACGCACCAUGGGAGCAAGGAUCUUCUUAAACAGAGAUCAGCGCGAUACUCUCAUCAAGCAGGAAUGUUUAGAUGAUGCAUGCUCUGACACGAAGAAGCAUCCCAAAGAGCAGGUCACCCCAAAGACUGUCUCUCUUCACCAUAACAUCACACCAGGCACUUUGACAGUGAAGGAUCAAAGGUCAGAA